rnacentral:rRNA from 1 species
AGAACGAACGCUGGCGGCAUGCCUAAUACAUGCAAGUCGAACGAACACUUCGGUGUUAGUGGCGCACGGGUGCGUAACGCGUGGGAAUCUGCCCUUGGGUUCGGAAUAACAGUUGGAAACGACUGCUAAUACCGGAUGAUAUCGAAAGAUCAAAGAUUUAUCGCCCAGGGAUGAGCCCGCGUAGGAUUAGCUAGUUGGUGAGGUAAAGGCUCGACCAAGGCGACGAUCCUUAGCUGGUCUGAGAGGAUGAUCAGCCACACUGGGACUGAGACACGGCCCAGGACCUCCGUACGGAGCAGCAGUAGGGAUAGUGACAAGUGGGACGCAAGCCUGAUCCAGCAAUCGACCGCGUGACGU